rnacentral:rRNA from 1 species
AUUGAACGCUGGCGGCAGGCCUAACACAUGCCAGUCGAACGGGAACAGGAAACAGCUUGCUGUUUCGCUGACGAGUGGCGGACGGGUGAGUAAUGUCUGGGAAACUGCCUGAUGGAGGGGGAUAACUACUGGAAACGGUAGCUAAUACCGCAUAACGUCGCAAGACCAAAGAGGGGGACCCUCGGGCCUCUUGCCAUCGGAUGUGCCCCGAUGGGCUUAUCUUGUUGGUGGGGUCACGGCUCACCAAGGCGACGAUCCCUAGCUGGUCUGAGAGGAUGACGGGCCACACGGGAACUGAGACACGGUCCAGACGCCUACGGGAGGCAGCAGUGGGGAAUAUUGGACAAUGGGCGGAAGCCUGAUGCAGCCAAGCCGCGUGUAUGAAGAAGGCCUUCGGGUUGUAAAGUACUUUCAGCGGGGAGGAAGGGAGUAAAGUUAAUACCUUUGCUCAUUGACGGUACCCGCAGAAGAAGCACCGGCUAACUACGUG